rnacentral:tmRNA from 1 species
GGGGCAGUAACGGUUUCGACAGGGAUUGUGAAGCUGGUGAAGCUAUCCGCAUGCAAUGCGUCAAAUGGCAAACUUAAAUACAAACGCUAACGACAACGAAUUAGCUCUUGCUGCUUAAUUGCAGCUUGUGUCGGCCCUGAGGCACUCACACCUCGGGAAUCCGGCAUCGAUAUGUGAGAAACGAUGGCAGGAAGGCUGCGCACUGUCAGGCGUAUCAGCAGAUACUGAAACCCUGAGGGUGUUUGUUCCCGCGGGGCAGAGGGAAUGUUAAACAACAAACUAUGAUAGUAGAAGAACAGGGGAUCGGUUUUUGGACACGAGUUCAACUCUCGUCUGCUCCAU